ACAUGGGAACAAGGCAUUGGUUUGAAAGUAAAGAAGAAGGCGUUGGACCGAGAGAAAAUAAUAAAUAAAAGAUCUCAAACUCAUCCACAUGCACUGCACAAUAUUUUUGCAAAAGAAUAUCAAUAUUUUCACCGUUAAAAAGUCCCAACGACAACCAAUACGAGUAACAUGCUUUUAACCUGAAACAAAGUGUAGGUCGAGGUUGAGGUGCAUUAUGGGGCACCGGCCAGAUGCGGAACGUAAAACAAUUGCCGCCUAACGGAAUCUCGGGCAAAGUAGCUAUAAUCUGUGCAAGAAAUUGAAGUCAGCAUAAGAAUUGUGCUGUUUGUUUGGAUUUUAUAAGGAGACAAAAUUGAUUCCAAGCAAAAAUUAAGUAAUUGAACUACAUGAAAUUGCACGACAAACUAUGUUCAAGCCAAAAUAAAGUAAUUAAACUACA